rnacentral:rRNA from 1 species
AACGAACGUUGGCGGCAUGGAUUAGGCAUGCAAGUCGCGGGAAUCCCAGCAAUGGGGGAACCGGCGUAAGGGGCAGUAAGGCAUGGGUACCUACCCUGGGGUUCGGGAUAGCCUUCAGAAAUGGAGGGUAAUACCGGAUGACGUCGUGAGACCAAAGGUCCGCCGCCCUGGGAGGGGCCCAUGUGAUAUUAGCUAGUUGGUGAGGUAACGGCUCACCAAGGCAAAGAUGUCUAGCGGGUGUGAGAGCACGACCCGCGCCACUCGCACUGAGACACUGGCGAGACACCUACGGGUGGCAG